UAGCCUUUAUUAUUUAAUAAAAGAUAUACUUUAAAGAUUUGCUUUUUCAUUUUCUUAUAGGAUGCCAGGUAGAUUUUUACCAAACUAGAAGAUGAAUAAGCAUCAUCUGGAGUUUAUAAUGGUGACUGAUAGCACUGUGAAUCUUUGCCGUUGUGAAGAGGGAUAUUGGUGCAAGUCUUAAGUAAUUUCACACAAUGAAGUUAUGGGGAAAAGAGAGAAAAUGUGUGAAUAAUUUUCUCAAAGUCAAAGAGAAAAAGAACAAAAGAAAAAUGUGAAAAUUACAGCAGCCAAAUAAAUGAAUAAAUUUGCAGGUUUGUUUGUUUCUUUUUUUCUGAAAUUUACUGGUAAUUGAGGAUAAUUUUUGUUUUUAAUUUUGUUUUAGUUAAUUAGAAAAUUAUUGUAAUUUGCCAAUUCAUUUACUUUCUUCAUGUAAACAGAAAUUAACUCUGCUUUAAGUUGUAAAUGGAGUCAGUGAAAUGAAAAUUACAAAAACUUUGUCAUCAACGCUGUUUAUCAAGUAAGUGUAGCUGUCAAAUAUUAUGUAUUUCAGAUGUCACCCUAAACCUGAAAAGAAU
rnacentral:lncRNA from 1 species